CACAGAGGCAGUACCACAGAAUGUGUUGAGCAAACUGAAGAGGAAGAUCUCACCACAAAGAAAGGACACUAUUCAUGUCCUGACAAUGGAGAGUUCCUUCUGGAAAAUAAAAAAAAGACACAGAUGCCUCAUCACGACAUCGUUCAGUGAGACAUUCUUCCAAUGGUAAAGCUGCCCAGAAAAGGCGACCCUUGACACAGAAAGAGGUGAAGGCUGUGGAGAAGUACAUGACGCGAUUCAUUCCUUCUGGUAUUGUACCAGGAAAGAGUGACUUUGAAAUGUUUGAGGGCCGAACCGGAAGCUCUCCAAAACCGGGAAUGGGAAGCAUUGAAGUUCUAUGUGUACAACCGCAUUAUGGCCGACAAAAGGACAAAGCUAAAAUAGUAGAUUAAAAGAUAUUAAGCAAGA